GUUGUGCUCAGAGGUAGAGUGUUCACCUAGCAUGCCUGAGGCACUGGGUUCGAUUCUCAGCACCACA
rnacentral:tRNA from 1 species